AGAGACAGCAGUAGCCGCGGGAAAACGAAGGGUGCAAGCGUUACUCGGAAUUACUGGGCGUAAAGCGCACGCAGGCGGUCUGUCAAGUCAGAUGUGAAAUCCCCGGGCUUAACCUGGGAACUGCAUUUGAAACUGGCAGGCUAGAGUCUUGUAGAGGGGGGUAGAAUUCCAGGUGUAGCGGUGAAAUGCGUAGAGAUCUGGAGGAAUACCGGUGGCGAAGGCGGCCCCCUGGACAAAGACUGACGCUCAGGUGCGAAAGCGUGGGGAGCAAACAGGAUUAGAUACCCCUGUAGUCCCUGUCUCUUAUAC
rnacentral:rRNA from 1 species